GCAAACUUGGUCAUUUAGAGGAAGUAAAAGUCGUAACAAGGUUUCCGUAGGUGAACCUGCGGAAGGAUCAUUAAAAAAAGUUUUUGCCUGCGGACCUUGUCCAAGGCGCAAAAAACCCACACCGUGUGCACCGUUAUCGUUUCUUUGGCAGGGGUUUGAGACGAUUGGUUUUUUUCCUUUCUCUCAACUUCUCCUCUGGCUCUAUCCUUCGUCGGACAGCCGGACAUGGGAAGCAGUUUUUUUUUAAACUACCCUGCCAAGUAACCCUCAAUACACGCUUUUUUUUUUGUCUGAAACUUUUUACAUUUGCGAUUUUCGCAAUAAAAAUAAAAACAUAACUUUCAACAACGGAUCUCUUGGCUCUCGCAUCGAUGAAGAACGCAGC
rnacentral:misc_RNA from 1 species